UACAGGGGGUGCAAACGUUGCUCGGAAUCAUUGGGCGUAAAGCGCACGUAGGCGGUCUGUUAUGUCGGAUGUGAAAGCCCUCGGCUCAACUGAGGAAGUGCAUCCGAAACUGCUAAGCUUGAGUACUUAAGAGGAUCGCGGAAUUCCAGGUGUAGCGGUGAAAUGCGUAGAUAUCUGGAGGAAUACCGGUGGCGAAGGCGGCAUCCUGGACCGACAUUGACGCUGAGGAGCGAAAGCUAAGGGGAGCAAACGGGGAUUAAGAAACCC
rnacentral:rRNA from 1 species